AUACUUGACUUGGUAGCACAUAUACUAACAUUGGAAUGACAGAGGUAAGAUUAACAUGGUCCUUGUGCAAGUAUGAUACUUAAAUCUGUGGUUUUCCUUUUUUUUUU